rnacentral:rRNA from 1 species
GCGCAGCAGGCGCGAAAACUCCGCAAUGUGGGAAACCACGACGGGGGAGUUCCCAGUGCCAUCGCAUUUGCGAUGGCUGUUUUCCUGCCUAAAAAGCAGGGAGAGUAAGGGCUGGGUAAGUCGGGUGCCAGCCGCCGCGGUAAUACCCGCAGCCCGAGUGGUGCUCGUUAUUAUUGGGCCUAAAGCGUCCGUAGCCGGUUUUGUAAGUUUCUGGGUAAAUCCCACAGCUUAACUGCGGGAAUUCCAGAAAUACUGCAGAGCUAGGGGCCGGGAGACGCAGAAGGUACUCCUGGGGUAGGGGUGAAAUCCUAUAAUCCUAGGGGGACCACCAGUGGCGAAGGCGUUCUGCGAGAACGGGCUCGACGGUGAGGGACGAAAGCCAGGGGCGCAAACGGGAUUAGAUACCCCGGUAGUCC